GUUUUUUCAUUAAAGACUGAAUGGGCCUCUUGUAGACGCAGGUCACGGUGAUUAAUCCAGAGAGUUUGGGAGACGUGCGAGAUGUCGGAUCAAUCAGGAAGACGAUGAACAGACAAUCUGGAUUUGAAGGACGUAGGGAGGUGCUGACGUUCAAGCACAAACAUGCUCAAGCGGUGUUCAGUUAAUGCCAUCGAGACUUAUUUCAGCCUAAAAGAAAAAGGAGCAUGUUUUACUCAACCUCAAGCUCUCCUAGUCACCAGAAGGGACAGGAAAGUGUUAAUAACUCCGGUUGGAUUCGCCCGGAAAACAUUUCUACACCCCCAGGCUGGCUUGAGGGCGCGCCAAACACACGCCAGCUUUCAUUUCUGCCGGCCGGUACACAAACGCGCCGUUAGCAGCGUUUGCAUGUUUAGCGGUCAUGCUAGCUUUGCGCUCCGUCGAGGGAUGCUACUGCGUUCCCGCCUGUAGAAAAUGCAAUGCCUAGCGUGGUUUCUAUGACUUAAUCUGUCUUAAUGUAACGUGCGUCUGUAAAUAUGAUUGUAAACCGAUCUCGAAUGACAUUCUGAUCACGUUGUCUUUUUUUUGUCACUAAUAGCCUAAAUAAAGUAUUUUUAGCAGACUCA